UCCGAUCACGAGGUGGGCCCUCUGAGGCGG
rnacentral:sRNA from 1 species